rnacentral:tRNA from 1 species
GCGCGAGUGGUUUAGACGUAUAACGACACUUUCACUAUAAAAGAUUAGUGUAAUUUCGCUAAUUUAAAGCGUUAAUCUCGACGGUCGGGGGUUCAAAAUUCCCCCCUUGCGCA